rnacentral:rRNA from 1 species
CCUACGGGGGGCUGCAGUCGAGAAUCUUCGGCAAUGGGCGCAAGCCUGACCGAGCGACGCCGCGUGCGGGAUGAAGGCCUUCGGGUUGUAAACCGCUGUCGGAGGGGAGGAAAUGCUAUGAGGUACUCCUCAUAGUUUGACCUAGCCUCAAAGGAAGGACGGGCUAAGUUCGUGCCAGCAGCCGCGGUAAGACGAACCGUCCAAACGUUAUUCGGAAUCACUGGGCUUAAAGGGUGCGUAGGCGGCCCUGAAAGUUGGGUGUGAAAUCCCUCGGCUCAACCGAGGAACUGCGCUCAAAACUACAGGGCUUGAGGGAGACAGAGGUGAGCGGAACUUGCGGUGGAGCGGUGAAAUGCGUUGAUAUCGCAAGGAACACCAGUGGCGUAAGCGGCUCACUGGGUCUCUUCUGACGCUGAGGCACGAAAGCUAGGGGAGCGAACGGGAUUAGAUACCCGAGUAGUC